GGGCUCGCUUUGGCAGCACAUAUACUAAAACUGGAACGAUGCAGAGAUUAGCAUGGCCCCUGAGCAAGGAUGACACGCAAAUUCAUGAUGUGUUCCAUAUUUUU
ensembl:snRNA U6 U6 spliceosomal RNA